UUCGUUAACCACUGCGCCAAGACGGGAACUCCUGUUCAGAACUUCUACUCUGUGCUGCCUCCUACCUGUACAGCUUUGCUUGGAUAAUAUGCUGGGUAACUAGGAAUCAGAAUCUUGGCUUGACCAGCAAGCCACCCUUUUUGUCCAUGCUCCCCAAGCUCAAAACCUUACAGUUCUCUCCUUACAGUUCUCUCUUUUGCAUGUCCUCUUGGUCACUAAGUCCUGUCAAUCUGUCCUUCCCAACAUCCCCUGUAUUUCCUUUCAUUCAUAUCCUCAUUACCAAAUACUUGGACUAUUGCAGUAUCAUCCCAGCUCCCAUGGUCACCAGACUUUCCCUUUUUCAUACUUUCUGCUCACCCUGCCAGAUUUAUCUUCCUUUAACACUGCUUUGUCUUAAAACAUUUCAUUUGAAAUAUACCAAAGACUCUUUGUGGCCCAUAGGAUAACAUCAAUACUCAGGGCUUGACAUCAAGAUCUCCCCACCACGAUUGCCCUCAAAGCUCCUUUCCAGCCUCAUCCAUCACUUCUUGCAAUGGCUUGAUGUUGCCUUGGGUGUUCUGACUUUGACAUCUUUGCCUAUGGCACAUCCUUUGCCUAGAAUGUGACACAUCUUUCUACCCAGCCAGCUCUCUAGUAAAAUCUUGGCCUACUUCAAGGCAUCUGUCUUCUUAUUUUUUUGGCCAUGCCUGCAGCAUGUGGAAGUUCCCGGGCCAGGGAUCGAACCCAUGCCACAGCAGUGACAAUGUUGGAACCUUAACUCGCUGGGUGACAAGAGAACUCCUGAAGGGAAGCCUCUCUGCAGGGAAGCUUUCUCCAGUUGCUUUGCAGGAAACUUGAGCAGGUACCUUGACGUGCCCUUGAGCAUCUUGUAACAUAAACAGUGCACCUCACAUGUGGCUUCAGUUAUCUGUUUAUCUGUGUACCAACAUUUCCUCCCUAAUCCCAGUGUGAGGGUGGAACCCUCAUGAGUAUGUCACCACCCCCCCAUCAUUAUCAUUAGCACAGUGCCUCGCCCAUGCAGCCCUUACUUGGUUGAAUGAAGGAUCUAAUGAAUAGGGGAAACCAGAAGUAAGGAACGAGUCACUUAUUGAGUGUUUACUAUGUGCUAGUGUUCUUCAUGCUUUUAUAAGUAAUAAUUCCUCAAAUCCUUGCAACUGCCCCAAGAGGUAGCUGAUAUUGUUCCUAUGGCAGAGAUGAGGAAACCGGGGCACAGCCAGCUGAGCUCCCUUGUCAAAGACUUAGUGAUGGGCCAGGAUUCCAAGCCAAGCAGUCUGCUUUCAGAACCUAGACUCUGUGGCUGCCUCUCCAGCACUCUUUACCCCUCCCUGAAAGGUGCCCAGCACACUGAUAGAUACAUUCUUGUGAGAGCUACUUCAUGGGCUUAUAGGUUUAGCCCUUGCGGCAGGUUCAGGAAGAGUCUGAGAACCCUGAGGAUACAGCUUUUCUUAUCUGAGCCACUAUGUGGAGCCUGGCCCACCCUGGCCAUGUGCAUUAGUGUGUUGGCGAGCCAAUGGAACCAGCCCCGAGUGCCAGGGUUCCCCAGGUGACAAGUGCUCUGUAAAAAUGUAGCCUGUUUUCCAUGUCCUGUGAGAUGUGGUGACUUCGAUACAUAGUCGUCAGACUGUGGGCCUGGGACUCCUCUAACACCCCGUUGUGGUGUGAGAUGAUAUUUGGUUAAUAAUCUUAAUCGGCCGAGUGCUCAUACCCUAUGUUUUUCCCUCCCAUCUCAUAAUUAACUUUUAUAUUUUCCUUAGCUUUACAACUCAAUCUGUGCACCAGAGCGACUGCAAACCCAUAUUUAUCUAAUUUAGCAAACAUUUGCAUGUGCUGCAAUUAGACUUCUAUGUUGUGUGAUCAACGUCCUUUGCUAAUUGCAUAAUUCCUUUUGCAUUUAAUCGUCAGAUGGCAUCCUUCUUUUUUUUUUUUUUUCUCCUCAUCUACGUGGUUUGCUGCUGGUUGUGAGCUGCCUAUGGAAUCUCUGGCUGAGGCACCUGCAAAAUCACAAAACCCAAGACGUUCUCGAGCUGGGAGGAACUGCCUUCCUUGUUUACAGGUGGAGAAAUGGAGGCUCGGGAAAAUGAAGGGACUUGCCAAUCCAAACAGCUUGUUAUUAAGAGUUCCUGCAGACGUGAAAGAUGAAUACAUCUGCAGAAAACAUCUCCCAAACCAUCCUAGCGUAGAAAUUCCAUGAAUAAUUCAAGCCCGUCUUGACAAUUAGCAUGGAGCCUGAGUCUGGACAAGAUUAGACUGAGCCUAAAAGAAAUCAGGUUGUGGGCAAGCAAGAAUUUUAGGGUAUUCCAAAGUUAGCACUAACCCUGAGCAAUUAUUUCUUAGUUUCAGGCUUCUUAUUGCCGGCAGAUAUUUCACUAUAAGGAAGGCUGGCGAAACUCUUCCCUCUGCCUCUUUGUAGGAAUUUUUUUAUUCCUCUCUAAAGCUAGAUCAGAAGAGAGUGGAGGGUUCAUCCAGAAUCAGGGAUUAGCAUAGAAUCAGAAUAGUAGAACUGAGUGGGAACUCAAAGAUCUGGGCUACUCAGCUUGUUUUACAGCCAUACCUAAUGUCACAAAAUUGGUUGGUUGCAGAUCUAAGACUCAAGCCUGUAUCUACCCACAUUCCAGGUUUUCCUCACUGCAGUGCUCUGUAAUGAAGAGACCAGGAAGACAGUUGUGCCUUACUCCCCUCCCUCUCUCCCUUGGUACCUCUACAUAGUGCUUGGGAGUGCCAGGCCAGGCAUGUGAGGAUGCAGAGGCUCAGACCUUGAUCUUGGCAGGGAUGAAAGGGCUAGGGAAGGAGAUCCGCCCACACGGAGAAGGCACCUGCUCCCCAAUGUGGAGAUUUUGAACUCAGAGGGUGUAAGAGAAACACAACAAUGCCCAGCGCCGUGCCGGCCCACUGGCAUGUGGAAACUCUACGAUAUUUGCAGAACGAAUGUGUGUGCUGGCAAGGGGAUGAGGAUGGGGCGACGAGGUUGGACAGAUAAAAGCGGGCUAGCUAUUGCCACCUGCAGAAGAAACCAUGAGAAGCCUGUCACGGUAGACUUCUUGAUCUGCCUAGGAAGAAAGAUGUGGUCAUUAUGUGGAAGCACCACAAAUUCUCGGGGCUGGAAAAUACAGUCCAGUGGUUUGCUCAGAAGAGGUGAGUGGCUCGUGGGCUCUACCAUCUCUCCUGAACUGGGAAACCUUCCCAUGCUGCGACAGCAAUAGGAAUGCCCUGCUCUCUGAGCGUGUCCCCUGGCAUUCGCUCCUCUCUGUCAGAUACACCCUCUGAAUUCCAUGGUUCCUAACACAGGGUCUAGGGAAUAGCAAGUGCUCAGUAAAUGAAUAUUGAAUGAAGAAAUGCAUGGAUUGUACAUCUUUGAAAUGUAUGGCUCCUAUCAAGUCAGCAGGGAGAUAGAUGGCCAAAGUCGGGUUAAAAAUAUUUUAAUAGCCUGUGUAAAUGGGCCAGAGCAAUAUGAUUAAAUUUACCUUGUGUAAACAUAACACAAAGUCUGCAGUUUCAAAAAGUCGAUUGCCCAAAUAAGGAGUAGAUGAUGCUUGAAACGGUGUAGUGCAUACAUAUUUAAAAAAAAAAAGUCAGUAAGGGUAGGUGUUAGAGGCCCGUAAGAUUGUGAUGUAGCUGCCGAGACAGGAUUGGAUUCCAUAAGAAGAAGCCAGGUCCAGAUCAAUGUAGGUGACCCUGUGGUUAGAGCUCACGCAGGUCACUCAGGCAUGAUGUUCAUUUGGGGUUUUAUUAAUAGCCAUGCAUAAACCUGGGUCCAGCGCUAUAGUUUACCCAGUCACUAUCUUGUUAUGUUGUCCAUCGGGUUUAUAUACUGACAAGGGCAAGCUGGCUGGCUCAAGGUCACCUAGCCAGUAGGUGGCUGAGCCCAGUCUUCUGACCCCUGGUCCAUACUCUUUCAAUGGCAUCAUGCUGCCUUUCUGCAGGCCAGAGCCCCUGCUGGGCAGCAUCUAAAAGCAAGGCCAGCGCGAUGCUUGUCAAGUGCUGUCAACAGAGGACACGCUCAGAUGGGCACCUCGCCAUCAGGCAGCCUGACAGUGAUGUCUCUGAAACCACUUUUCCUGACUCACGGAGGGCUUUGAUGGGCCAGCUCACACCCGCAAGCACAGUGACCCUGGUCUGUUUCAGAAACUGACAGCAGACAAACAUGGAACAUCACCUCCCCUUUGGGUGAACCCUGGAAAGUACAAAUCUCCGUUCUGAGUUCCUCAGGUCCUAUGACAAGGAUCUGUGAGCCAGGCUCUAAGGAGGAAGAGGAAGGGGAGAGCACUGACAUCUGCCAGGUGCUGUUAAGUGUCUGGCUCAGGACAUUUCACAUUUAUUUGAGUUUCCUUUCCCAUUUAGUCCUGUGUCUGCAACCUUACUGCUCACUCUGGUCACCACUGGACUCUUCCACCCCCUGGUGUUUGGUCGUCAUAAUAAUCCCUCACAUUCAUCUUGUCUUAUUCACACUCCCAAAAAAGCCUAUGAAAAAAAAAAAAAAGCCUGCUCUUAUGGUAUGUGAAAUCUAAAAUAGCUGGGUACUUAGAAGCAGAGAGUAGAAUGGUGGUUACUAGGGGUGGGGAGGUGGGGGAAAUUAGGAGAUAAUUGAUGAAAGGGUACAAGGUCAUAGUUAUGUGGGAUGCUUGAAUCUAGAGAUCUAAGGGACAGCGUGAUGGCUUUUCUCACAAUACUGUGUUGAAUAGUGGAAAUAUGCUAAGAGAAUAGAAUUUAGGUGCUCCUGUUGCAAACAGGUAACUGAAGAGAUAUGCUAAUUAGCUUGAGUGUGGUAAUCAUUUCACUAUGAUUUAAUAAAAAUCAUCAUUUUUAUUAAAAACAAAAUGAAUCAAGAAAAUCCUGUGAGCUGGUUAGGGCAGAGAUUUUCCCCAUUUCACAAUGAUGCACAAGAAUGUCUAUCUGUUUGUUCCAUCUUUCCAUCCAUCCAUCCUUUCAUUCAUUCAUUCCUUCAUCACAUCUUUAUUAAAUUAUGUUCUAGGCACUGUGCAAUUCACUAAGGAAGCAAAGGUGUCUGGGAAGCUCUUGGGAGAGAUGAAUAUAAACUACCAGAGGGAGUUCCCAUCGUUGCUCGGUGGUAAGGAAACUGACUGGUAUCUAUGAGGACUCAGGUUCGAUCCCUGGCCUCGCUCAGUGGGUUAAGGAUCCAGCCUUGCUAUGAGCUGUGGUGUAGCUCCCAGACAUGGCUCAGAUCUAGUGUUGCUGUGUCUGUGGUAUAGGCUGGUGGGUGCAGCUUCAUUUAGACCUGUAUCCUAGGAACUUCAAUAUACUGUGGGUACAGCCCUAAAAAGAUAAAUAUCUAUAUAUAUACUACCAGAAAAGGUGGUAUCAUAUUUGAGGUUUUUAAGUAGAAUGGCCAUGCAUUUUAAGAUAAUGGGGUGGUGGGGUGUUAUUGCUGGCUGUGACCAGUAGGUGGCAUUCUGGGUCCCGGGAGGCUUAAGAGCCCUUCAGCCUUCUACACGCUAAGCUUUCAUUUUAUAUUCAUUACUGUACUUAAAAUCAAAUUCUAAGUCAUAUCAUUGAAAGGCUGUAUUCAAUUUGAUUUUAAUUCCAUUUAUUUGCCGUUAAUUGUUCCAUGCUUUUCUAAAAUGGUCAAAUUAAAUCUACUUGUGUCAGGGCUUUCCGGGUAAGUGAAAGACACGUCCAGGAAAUUCAGACUCCUAAGUAAAUUAGCACCUCCAGUCCCAGCACAACUAGGUCCCAAAUUCCUUUUUUAGGAAAUGCUGACGAAAAGUUGAUGCUUUGGGGAAAAGAUCUAGAAGGAUGCACUCUGAGAUAUUAGUGGUGAUAUCUCCCAGUGGUGGGAAUACAGAUGGUUUUGUUUUGUUUUUUCAUACCUAUCUGUACUUUAUUCAUUUUUUUUACAAUGGGCAUGUAUGAAUUUUUAUGUUUGUUUAUAUUUAGUUUUUCAUCGAAGUAUAACCUACCAAUGGAAAAUAUGUAAAUUGUAAGCAAACAGCUUGGAUUUGUGUAUUUAUACACAUAAGUAACCUCCACCCAGAUCAAGAUAGGCAUUACCACGGGCUUCCAAAUUUCCCCUGGGCCCCUUCCCACUAAUCCUGCCCUGGCCAGGCCCCCACCCCACCACCAUGGAUUAGUUUUGCCUAACUUUGCUCUUCAUACAUAUGGAAUCAUAUAGGAUCUCUUCUUUUGUAUAUGCAUUCUUGUUCAAUAUUAUUUAAGUUGGUGUGUAUAAAUACAUGAAAACUCACCAGUCUGUUCUGUUGUUUUGUGUGUCAGAAAUCUGCUAUUUUUCAUUGGUGUGCCAUAUUCCAUUGUGUGAAUAUACUGCAGGUCUGUAUUUUUAUAAUCAGAAAAAGAUUUACUAAAAAAGAUUACAUGUAGACAUGGAAAUUUGCUGGAGGCCAAGGAGCCAUUUCAACUGCAAGGUCAUUUUCAGAAUACGUGGAUUUAAACAGCUGUGCAGACACUGGCUUGGACACAGAAGCACAGGGUCUUUGUGAGAGACCGACACUUAGCUAAUUGCAGGGCAGCAGGUAAGGCAAGUCCUGGCUCUUCCCCUGGUGGUGUGGCUGCAGGGCAAGUCACUUCACUCCCUAAGUCAGCUGUUCUCACAGAGUCUCAGUUUCCUCAUCUGUAAAAUGUGUAAAGUUACUAAUUUUAAAAGAAUAAAAGAAGGAAAACCCCAGAACCUCCAGUCAAAUUUGAAUUUCAGGUAAACAAUAAUUUCUUACAAUAAGUCUAUUCUGCAUAUUGCAUGGGACAUACAAGCCUAAAGACUUACUCGUUGUUUAUUUCCAAUUCAAAUGUAAUUGUAUUGUGUCCAGCAAAAACAGGUGUAAUAUAUUCCGUAUUUUGGUUUUUAUUUUCUUUGGCUCUUGUGUACCUCAAAAAAAUUAUAAUAAAGUAACCUCAGAACUACCCCUCCCCCCAAAAAAAACAGGUGUGAUAAUAUUCCCUGCUCACACGAUGACACAAUUGUUUGUGAGAAGGUGUUUGCAGGCAGCCAAGUAUGUACAGGUGAAAGAAACUCGAGAGGGCCGGAAAGGCAGGGCAGAGGACCACUCGGUUUGGAAAUUGAGCCCUGUGAGGCUCCAUAGGAGAGGGACCUUGCCUCUCUCACCCACCACCCCCAGCCACCCCACUGCCCAGCUGGAUGGCUGACUCUGAGAAGGCACCACUUACCUGUUGAAUGACUGAAUGGCUUUGCUCCCCAGCUCCUCCACUUACUUGAUGUUGACCUUAGCUUGGCUUAUAGUGCUGUCGGCUGUGAGUUCAAUGUUAACGAAUCAACAAUAUACAGUAUAUUGAAGGAGGUGUCUUUAAACAGAGACGCAUGUAAAACAAGAAUUAGGAUAAUGAAGUGGACAAUGUCUGUAAGAGAGGAAGUCCCCUCCAUCCAUCAGGGAGUACUCUCUGGUGAUACAGACUCCAGCAUCAGGACCAGACCUCAGCACAGAGCUUCCAGGCUGGCUUUAAACCAUUCAAAGGUCACAUCCAGAGAGCUCUGAGGUGGAGUGGGGGAGGUUGGAGAUCUAUGGUUCCUUUCAUACAAAGUAAAAUGAAAUUUCAAAAUUUUUCAAUCACAAAGACGAUGCUCAUUAUAAAGAAACAUGAAAAUACAGAUGGUCAAAAGAAGAAAACAAAUACUCAAAAAAAUUUUCUGAUCAUGCUUCCAUGAAUAUUUAUGAAUGUGUACACACACACACACACAUACACACACACAAGUAGGAAAGAUUUUGAACAAAAUUAGUAUGGCUGAUACUUUACCAGCUGAUAACUGGCAUCCUACACCUUGCCAUUCCCACCCCUAUAUUUCCAUCAAUAAACAUUCCCCUUUGAUAUCCACUUUAAAGAGUA